UUUAUCCUGUUUUGGCGAUGUUUUAGUAACUGAACUCCACCAUUGUAACAAGUAUUCUGCAUUUUCCUUUCAUGCACACGGUUUCCUCCAUCGAUUAAGAGCCGACACGCCAUACACUCACAGAGAUGACCUGAGAGGGUUCAGUUCAGGGAGAAGAUCGCAUUGAGAUGUGGAAUAUGUCCUCACCUGACUCAUCGAGUUUGCUGUAUUCAUCACCAUAUUAUCUGGAGAACUAAUCCCUUUGUGACAACAGCUGAAGCACAGCGGGUUAUACACCACGUACUGUACCAUUGUGCAGUCUAAUAUUGGAAGGCUCACAGCAGUGCAAAACCCAAGUAAAGAUGGACUGCAAAGCUAUCUUGCCAGCAGAAAUGAACAUACAACAGUCUUCCCCUGUUAGGAGAGCAGCUCUGCGUGGUGGGAGCUGAUCAUGGUCGUCCACGGGCUGAGAGCACACACAGUGCCACUCCACGUACAGCACUGAGCUCCUCCGCUUUGCCAGGAGACCGGAUCUCCUGCCACAGAACUUUACAACGUCUAGCCUUCAGAGAUGUGAUGUCACCUUCUGUUACAGUGUUGCCUUGCACACACAGCCCCGUUGCACUCCGUCAAGCGAGGAAACACGAGAGAACAUUCCUUCCAGAAGAUAAAACAAUGCCUCCUUCUGCAGUCUGUGCUUCUGAAGAUGAGCACAAAUGUGCUAAGUUUGAAAUUACAUCAUCCUCAGUAGGGAAAGGACAGCAACUCCUCGUACUGGAAGAUACACUUGGUGUUUACAGUAUACAGUAUUUUAAACUGAUUAAGUUUUUGAAUAUAAACUGUAUAACGCUCUCGACUGUUUUCUCAAAUUAUUUCUACUUUCUAUUUUGAGUUUUCUUGGUUGAACACAGUACUGUAAAAUAUAGCAGCAGAUUAAACGAGCCCGUCUCCCUGCCGGAGAAAAUGUUUAUUUUUUUACUCAUUCCACAGUG